CAGGAUUAGAUACCCUGGUAGUCCACGCCGUAAACGAUGUCGACUUGGAGGUUGUGCCCUUGAGGCGUGGCUUCCGGAGCUAACGCGUUAAGUCGACCGCCUGGGGAGUACGGCCGCAAGGUUAAAACUCAAAUGAAUUGACGGGGGCCCGCACAAGCGGUGGAGCAUGUGGUUUAAUUCGAUGCAACGCGAAGAACCUUACCUGGUCUUGACAUCCACGGAAGUUUUCAGAGAUGAGAAUGUGCCUUCGGGAACCGUGAGACAGGUGCUGCAUGGCUGUCGUCAGCUCGUGUUGUGAAAUGUUGGGUUAAGUCCCGCAACGAGCGCAACCCUUAUCCUUUGUUGCCAGCGGUCCGGCCGGGAACUCAAAGGAGACUGCCAGUGAUAAACUGGAGGAAGGUGGGGAUGACGUCAAGUCAUCAUGGCCCUUACGACCAGGGCUACACACGUGCUACAAUGGCGCAUACAAAGAGAAGCGACCUCGCGAGAGCAAGCGGACCUCAUAAAGUGCGUCGUAGUCCGGAUUGGAGUCUGCAACUCGACUCCAUGAAGUCGGAAUCGCUAGUAAUCGUGGAUCAGAAUGCCACGGUGAAUACGUUCCCGGGCCUUGUGCACACCGCCCGUCACACCAUGGGAGUGGGUUGCAAAGGAAGUAGGUAGCUUAACCUUCGGGAGGGCGCUUACCACUUUGUGAUUCAUGACUGGGGUGAAGUCGUAACAAGGUAACC
rnacentral:rRNA from 1 species